AACUGAUACUACCUGCGGGAACCUGCGGAGGGAUCAUUACAGAGUUCGUGCCCUCACGGGUAGAUCUCCCACCCUUUGUGUAUCUCGUGUUUUUGUUGCUUCGGCAGGCCGUUAGUUCGUCUAACCACCGGCUCUCUGGCUGGUGCGCGCCUGCCGGAGGAUCUCCCAAACUCUUGUUUGUCAGUGUCGUCUGAGUACUAUAACAAUCGUUAAAACUUUCAGCAAUGGAUCUCUAGAUCG
rnacentral:misc_RNA from 1 species